AUUGAACGCUGGCGGCAGGCUUAACACGUGCAAGUCGAGCGGAGAUGAGGUGCUUGCACCUUAUCUUAGCGGCGGACGGGUGAGUAAUGCUUAGGAAUCUGCCUAUUAGUGGGGGACAACAUUCCGAAAGGAAUGCUAAUACCGCAUACGUCCUACGGGAGAAAGCAGGGGAUCUUCGGACCUUGCGCUAAUAGAUGAGCCUAAGUCGGAUUAGCUAGUUGGUGGGGUAAAGGCCUACCAAGGCGACGAUCUGUAGCGGGUCUGAGAGGAUGAUCCGCCACACUGGGACUGAAACACGGCCCAGACUCCUACGGGAGGCAGCAGUGGGGAAUAUUGGACAAUGGGGGGAACCCUGAUCCAGCCAUGCCGCGUGUGUGAAGAAGGCCUUAUGGUUGUAAAGCACUUUAAGCGAGGAGGAGGCUACUGAGACUAAUACUCUUGGAUAGUGGACGUUACUCGCAGAAUAAGCACCGGCUAACUCUGUGCCAGCAGCCGCGGUAACAC
rnacentral:rRNA from 1 species